CUCGUUACCUUGUGCCGGGGCCUCGCUGAUCACCGAGGGCAAGCCCCCAGGGCGAAGCGUGGACAUUGCACUGCGCUCGCGUCGACCCCUGCCACUAUCCGAAACUGGGGCAAAGGGGCAUGCAAAUUACUUAAAUCCGGUUCAACGCAAGAGUGGACCCCAU
rnacentral:snRNA from 1 species